rnacentral:rRNA from 1 species
AAGCCCCCCUCAAGAUGAGAUUUCCCACAUUGGUAAGACCCCUUGAAGACGACGAGGUAGAUAGGUUGGAGGUGGAAGUGCAGCAAUGCAUGGAGCUGACCAAUACUAAUCGGUCGAGGGCUUAUCCUA